CCUACGGGUGGCAGCAGUGGGGAAUAUUGGGCAAUGGGCGCAAGCCUGACCCAGCAACGCCGCGUGAAGGAAGAAGGCCCUCGGGUUGUAAACUUCUUUUAUCAAGGACGAAACAAAUGACGGUACUUGAUGAAUAAGCCACGGCUAACUACGUGCCAGCAGCCGCGGUAAUACGUAGGUGGCAAGCGUUAUCCGGAUUUACUGGGUGUAAAGGGCGUGUAGGCGGGACUGCAAGUCAGGUGUGAAAACUCCGGGCUCAACCUGGAGACUGCACUUGAAACUGGGUGUCUUGAGGGCAGGAGAGGAAAGUGGAAUUCCUAGUGUAGCGGUGAAAUGCGUAGAUAUUAGGAGGAACACCAGUGGCGAAGGCGACUUUCUGGACUGUACCUGACGCUGAGGCGCGAAAGCGUGGGUAGCGAACGGGAUUAGAUACCCUUGUAGUC
rnacentral:rRNA from 1 species